GAUGAACGCUGGCGGCGUGCUUAACACAUGCAAGUCGAACGGACCUUGAGGAGCUUGCUCCGACAGGUUAGUGGCGGACGGGUGAGUAACGCGUGGGUAACCUGCCCUAUGCAGGGGGACAACACCGGGAAACUGGUGCUAAUACCGCAUAACAUACGAGGAUCGCAUGAUUCUUGUAUCAAAGAUUUAUCGGCAUAGGAUGGACCCGCGUUGGAUUAGCUAGUUGGUGAGAUAACAGCCCACCAAGGCAACGAUCCAUAGCCGGCCUGAGAGGGGGAACGGCCACACUGGGACUGAGACACGGCCCAGACUCCUACGGGAGGCAGCAGUGGGGAAUAUUGCACAAUGGGCGAAAGCCUGAUGCAGCGACGCCGCGUGAAGAAUGAAGGUCUUCGGAUCGCAAACUUCUAUCAGCAGGGAGGAACCAAAUGACGGUACCUGACUAAGAAGCCCCGGCUAACUACGUGCCAGCCGCCGCGGUAAGAC
rnacentral:rRNA from 1 species